GGGGAUGUUUUGGUUUUGACAGCAUACUCAAUCGGAAGGUAAGCACGUCGAGCGUCGUGAAGCCGGCUCGUAAAUCCCGGAACACAAGCCAUAACUGGCAACAACAACUAUGCACUCGCUGCGUAAUUAAGCCCAGCUUAAUCGCUUAAUCGCCGCCGGCAAGGCCGGCCCCGACGAGUAUCCCGCCGAACUUUAAGCCUGUUAUGUCCGGCAACAGGGGUAUCAUUCAAACAGGAUGCCGGCGCCAACUCCUCUAAAGCGUCUUAAGAAAAAGAGGAUAAGUAUUGAGUGGCCUGCCUCCCGGCAGCUCAUUACCUACAAUAAAUGAGAGGAUAAACGUGUAGAAAGCUUUUGGAUGGUUUGUUUGGACGGCGGUUCGAGUCCGCCCAUCUCCACAA
rnacentral:tmRNA from 1 species